rnacentral:rRNA from 1 species
UAUAAGAGGUCCAGCCUGCCCGGUGACCACAGGUUCAACGGCCGCGGUAUUUUGACCGUGCAAAGGUAGCGCAAUCACUUGUCUUUUAAAUGAAGACCCGUAUGAAAGGCCAAACGAGGGCUUAACUGUCUCCCAUUUCUAGUCAGUGAAAUUGAUCUGCCCGUGCAGAAGCGGACAUAAAAAUACAAGACGAGAAGACCCUUUGGAGCUUAAGGCAUAAAACUCAACCACAUAAAGCAACUCUAUAAAAAGUGAAUAUCAAAACAUGUGGCAAAUGAAGACCCUGCCUUCGGUUGGGGCGACCGCGGAGGAAAGAAAAGCCUCCACGUGGAUUGGGAUAUUUCCUAAAACCAAGAGAGACAUCUCUAAGCUACAGAACAUCUGACCAUUAAUGAUCCGGCCAAUGACAGCCGAUCAACGAACCAAGUUACCCUAGGGAUAACAGCGCAAUCCUCUCCAAGAGUCCCUAUCGACGAGGGGGUUUACGACCUCGAUGUUGGAUCAGGACAUCCUAAUGGUGCAGCAGUUAUUAAGGGUUCGUUUGUUCAACGAUUAAAGUCCUACGUGA